UACAGAGGCCACGAGCGUUAGGCGGAAUCACUGGGCUUAAAGCGUGUGUAGGUGGAUGGCUAAGUAUCUUGUGAAAUCCCACGGCUCAACCGUGGAACUGCUCGGUAUACUGGUCGUCUUGAGGCACUCAGGGGCGAGCGGAACAGAUGGUGGAGCGGUGAAAUGCGUAGAUAUCAUCUGGAACGCCAAUGGUGAAGACAGCUCGCUGGGGGUGUACUGACACUGAGACACGAAAGCCAGGGGAGCGAACGGG
rnacentral:rRNA from 1 species